CAACUUGUAGCUUAUAUUAAAGCAUUUGCCUUUUAAGCAUAGGAAGGUUAUCCCUGGUUAU
rnacentral:tRNA from 1 species